CUGCCAUCCCAGGCCAUGGCUUUUGGCCCUAGGGUAAAUAUGUCCCUGGUUCAAGCUACAUUUGGUAAGGUUUUAAACCAUGUAGACCUCAUUAAUGUUUGAUGUCGGACCAUCUUAUGGACUCCUUGCCCAGAUGCUUGCCCAAGUGGUUAAAAUCUAUGGUAACUGGAUCCAAUAGACUGAUUUGUCAUGUAUAGUUAUCAAAGAAAAGGUAAUGCUUGUCUACACUGUACAUUCGCCAUCAGAUAUAAUGGAGCAGCCGAGGUGCUCAUAAAUAUCUGAACAUGCACCCUAGCGCCUUGACAAUAGAGGUGUGUUCAGAUUUUUUUGAGCACCUUGACCACUCCAAUAUAUCUGAUGGAGACUAUAACUGCAUUUGAUAUACUGCCAUUGGUAAAAAGGAUUAGGAACAAUUUGCUUGCAUGUUAUCAUAGUCUAAUAAAACAUGGUCUUCUCUUCCCAGAGUGACACAGGCCUACGUCACAAUAACAUUGCCACUUUAUAUAGCGCUAUCGCUAUCGCAUAUUAUCAUAUAGCGCUGUCGCAUGAUGAUGUAGGCUUGUGUCAGUCACGUGAUCACGAAAAGACGGGAAGAGAGUACCAGGCGGAGUAUAUUAUUAUACCAUGCAUGUUAUCAUUGUUUUUAUUACUUCUAUUGAAGAACAGAUGUUAUGUUAUAAAAAUGUUGUACAAUUUCAUAUCUAUCAUAUAUCAUAUCCAUCAUAAAUUAUGUAUCUUUAUAAAGAAGCAUGGCAUGUAAAAAAAUAAAACGUAGAAGUAUUAAUUUUUAGUUUAUAUUAUAUUACGCCAAUAAAAAAAAAUUAACAGUAUACAUAGAAGUAAUGCAUGGUUAUUUUUUAGAUCAAGUCUUCCAAGUUUUAUGUUGGACUAUAUAUUUUAGUGUCACCUUGAUUUAAUUUAUUUCUUAUUGUUAAUAUGUUUCAUGCCAAGUAACUAUACAUAGUUGGUAAUUAAAUACAAAUAGGGACAAAGAGAAUUUGAUAUAGAGGCAGAUUGUCAAAGUCAGUUUUGUAUUUUGUUUGUGGCUACAAAAUAUAACUUGACAAUCUGCCUCUAUACUAAAUUCUCUUUGAUAGGGAUAUAAACCGUACAAUCUGGUUGGAACUUAAUUAUUACUUUUUUUUAUACUGUCAUGAAAAUAAGUAGUUCUUAGUAACUUUAAAAAUAGACUUUAUUAUGUACUAAUACAGAACAUAACUUUAACAAUUUAGGAUUUGUAAUUAAUAAUUAUUUAAUUAUACUCAGUCAAAUGGGCCACCAUGGAACCAUUUCACAUUGACGCACAUGACAUUUCUUACGAACAAUAUUACAAUAUAACUUUGACAUACACCUUGGCAAAAAAGAGUAGAAAUUAAAAAGUGGCAACACUGUAGUGCUGUCCCGUUUUCUUAUAUAUAUUGGUUUGUAAGGGACGACACUACAGUGUUGCCACUUUUUAAUUUCUACUUUUUUUUGCCAAGCUCUAGUUGCAGUGAACCAGUAUGAACAUAUGUUUAAACCUAGUAAUUCAGAUCACUUUAUUUGUGAUUUAGUGCAAACAAUACCUCUCCCUUUCUAAGGAAAGAGAUACUAUGCACAUAAAGGUAUUUCAAUUUCAUUUGUCAGCUUUUAAACUACAUCGUACAUCACAUGUGUAUUGUAUGUAUAGGUAGUUAAAAAUGAAAAUUGUGUUAAUUAGUGCUUUAAUUGUAAGUGCCUUGGACUCUGCAUACAUUUUUACAAGGAGAAAUGGAAUAUUUACAUUUACAUUAUAUUAUAUUGUAUUAUUAUAGGUACCGAUUUCUUGACAACACAAUCAGUGCCUUAAUAUGUUUGUCUAAAUCUAAAUGUAAGUAACUUUAUAUCAUGGACGUAUACAUUUUAUUUUUGACUACAUAAGGUAGAUAUAUUAAGUUUUAUCACAGACAACUUGAGAAAGAAACAUGUGUGCGAGUUUCAGUAGUGAUGUGAAUAUUUAAGUUUAUGUUUAUUCAUUCUCAUAAAUGCAUGCUAUUUUUACAGUAAUAAACAACAGUUUAUGGUAUAUUUAAUUUAAAGACAAAACUUUUUUGGUUUAAUUAUGUUUUAUUAUUGAAAUGUUGAAUUGUUGAUAAAAGUCCCAAUGAUAAAAUUGUGUAUUUUAUCAGUAGAAAGACGCAAAAAUAAAUUUCCCAUUGGUGAACAAUUCUUAGCGCCUAAUUUUUUCAAAUUUGCCCCUAUUAUUAGUGACAGAAAUGGUUUGCCAGAAUAUACUUAGAUUAUUCUUGGGGAAAAACAGCUAAAGUAGGAGAAAAUUACAAAGUACACUUGUUAUGUAAAAUUUUCGUCGUUCAAAUCACGGUAAAGUUCUCUUAAAAGUAUUUGUUUGCACAUUGGUGGAUUGGGUGUCGUACUCUGUCCUCUAUCUAAUGGUUGUUCAUAGUUAUAGUUAUUAUUGUAUACUAAUAAAUCAUUUUUAUUGAA